rnacentral:snRNA from 1 species
GGAUGUGAGGGUGAUCUGGCUCCAACAUCUGUCACCCCAUUGAUUGCCAGGGUUGAUUCGGCUGAUCUGGCUGGCUAGGCGGGUGUCCCCUUCCUCCCUCACUGCUCCACGUGCAUCCCUCCCGAAGCUGCACGCUUGGUCGAAGAGGAUGACCAUCCCCGAUAGAGGAGGACCAGUCUUCGGUCAAGCUUACACGAGUAGCUGCGCUCCCCUGCUAGAACCUCCAAACAAGCUCUCAAGAAUGAGUUGUAGAAGAAAGACAGGGAAGAGCGUAACAGAUGAGGUU